CAACAGAGCCCUUCGGACGUCCAGAGAAUGAUGUGAUCUCUCUAGGGGGGGUCUGUGGAUUUCUGAAAAAGAAAAUGUUCGAUUCUAAGGAGCCACAUAGCCGAGGUACCGACACAAAGGCAGUCAGAAAGGAAUUGCGGGGGAGAAGCGCCUAACCACCGAAAACAACAGAACUGCACCACACACAGGGGGUGGGGCUCGGUGCCACGAGGAACUAAUGAAUUCUGCCCAAAUGGUCCGACGUAGGCCAUUAUAAAUGCAACAGAUCACGAACCAGAUAAAAAAGUUAUACUACAGAUUUGGAAGCGAUGUUUCUAUGCAUGUCAUGCCUCCAGAAUCAAACAGGAACCUCCUCAUUCAACCUAACCAAAGCCAUCUACCAAACAAAGUGUGGAUAAGCAUCCAGACUUUCUGCAGACGUUCUCUGUCCAUGUUAACACCCUAAAGUCUAGUCUCGGCAAUCCUCUGAAAUGCUCUCUGCUGCACUUUCAUUCCACAUCCAGCCCUGCCCGUUACCAGACCCAUUCACUUCACCAUUUGGGGGUACAAGUCUGUGCCAGAGGGCGUGAUGUUCCCUCCUCUCUUCCCUUUGUCCAGGUGAUUGCUCUAGUGAUAUCCCUCUUUCCUUUCAUACAGGAAAAUAUCACCCAGACAUAACCUAACCAUAACUAAUAUUCAUGCCUUAUCAGGAGCAGUAAUUCCUGAAGUCAUCAGGAAAUUCCUGGAGGAGACUCCUCCCUAGCCUUAGUCCAGCCUAGUCUGUUGGACUCCUCUCUAGCCUUAGGACAUGUUUUUGCCUUACACGUUUUACAUUUUUGUUUAAGGGAUCACAUCUUGUUAUUGCCAUUACAUCUGCCACACUUGCUGCACAUGCACCUCUGUGCAACUUACCAUCAGACACUGCACCCCAACGCUGCCCACGUGUGCCAAUGAGCUUGCUCUGUGCUUGGGCUCUCCAGAGAGAAGAAUUCCCACAGCGAGAUCUAGGUAGAUAUGACAAAUGGCUUUCCUCUCUCUCUUUCAUCCCCAAACCUCUUUCUCCCUUCCUAGCAUAGCAACUUGGCAACAUGCCUAUCCAACCACUAUUCAAUUUCCUGUACCCCACUACCCUUGCAUAAAGCAACUCUUUGCUCUCAAAGUCAUGUCCCCAUCCUCUCUCUUUCCCUUUACAGUGCUUGGAUUAAGGGCUGUAUGUGCUGGGAAAUCAAGCAUAGUUUUAUAUCGUUCUACAGCAACCAGAUUCCAAAACUUGUAUAUUAAUUUAUACUGCAUAAUAUUUACACUUGUAUAUUAAUUUAAAUUAUAUAAUUUAUACUAUAUCCAUCAUAACUACCUUUCUUGCACCUUCCUGAAAACUAACUGAUGCCAGUUACUAGAACAAUUGAACUAGUAGGUGAUCUAUGUGUUUAUAUUUAUAACCAGAUUUUUUUUGUACUUUCAGAGUAAAAUAAGAAUUAAAAUAUGCAAGAAUCUAAAAAUUAAUCUAUGUAGCAGGUAAAAAGAGGCUAUUCCUUCACAAUCUCUCCCAGAGACAAGUUUUUAAAACAAUUCUAUAUUAAUUAAAUUUUCCUGAAAGUUGACCAAGUACUUCUGUUGCAUAUUAUUUUUCUUUAGUAACAGAACUUCCAAAAUAUCAACUUAAGUAGAUAUGUUAGAAAUUCCUAUAACUUACCUCCAGAUGCAUUGCUUAUAGCAGAACCUGCUGAUGCCACCUUUGAAACAGCAGCUGGAUUGUAUGUCCAAGAAGUUCCACAAACUUCUACUUUUAAAUCACUGUCUGAAUAGAUCUGCUGGACUCUUCCAACCUUACCUAAAGUCUGAAUUGAAAACAAGACGGAUUGCAGCAUAUGUCAUUUAAAAAGAUAAACAAAUAAAAUUUUAUUUUUAUGCAGGUA